GAGUUUGAUCAUGGCUCAGAUUGAACGCUGGCGGCAUGCCUUACACAUGCAAGUCGAACGGUAACAGGUCUUCGGAUGCUGACGAGUGGCGAACGGGUGAGUAAUACAUCGGAACGUGCCCAGACGUGGGGGAUAACGAGGCGAAAGCUUUGCUAAUACCGCAUACGAUCUAAGGAUGAAGCAGGGGACCGCAAGGCCUUGCGCGUUUGGAGCGGCCGAUGGCAGAUUAGGUAGUUGGUGGGAUAAAAGCUUACCAAGCCGACGAUCUGUAGCUGGUCUGAGAGGACGACCAGCCACACUGGGACUGAGACGCGGCCCAGACUCCUACGGGAGGCAGCAGUGGGGAAUUUUGGACAAUGGGCGAAAGCCUGAUCCAGCAAUGCCGCGUGCAGGAUGAAGGCCUUCGGUUGUAAC
rnacentral:rRNA from 1 species